AGCACCACUCUGCUCUCUCGCCUCCCCAGCGGCAGACACCCCAGUCCGUGCCACGGCCACUGCUCAGGCCACCAGGGAAUCACUGCAUGGGCUGACCCCAGCUGCAGCCCUCCUGCAUGGCUGCCUGUCACUCCAGCUAAGCAGAGGAGCUGCCGUUACCAGCACCCUUUCCCUUUCUAAUCUGAAGGCAGCCCUGCGGUGAGAGAGUCUCAGCAUCACCCAUCACCCCAGCAGGUCAGGGGCCCUGGAGUCCCCCCUUGAUGAAUGACCUUAGCAGGAAAGAGAAAUCUGCCCCCU
rnacentral:lncRNA from 1 species